rfam:Gossypium raimondii Chr10_contig_1442, whole genome shotgun sequence.
UGUUAAAAUUUCCAUCCAUUUGUACUAUUAAAAACUGACGUGGCCGAUAGAAUAACCAAAUAGUGCCAUGUGGUGUCCAUGUGUACUUCAUGCUGAUGUAUAUGAAUCAAUUUUUAACAGCAAAAAUAGAUGGAAUUUUUAAUA